rnacentral:rRNA from 1 species
GAACGGUAACAGCAGGGGCUUGCUCCUGGCUGACGAGUGGCGGACGGGUGCGUAACGCGUAGGAAUCUGCCUAUUAGUGGGGGACAACAUGGUGAAAACCAUGCUAAUACCGCAUACGCCCUACGGGGGAAAGCGGGGGAUCUUCGGACCUCGCGCUAAUAGAUGAGCCUGCGUUAGAUUAGCUAGUUGGUGGGGUAAAGGCUCACCAAGGCGACGAUCUAUAGCUGGUCUGAGAGGACGAUCAGCCACACUGGGACUGAGACACGGCCCAGACUCCUACGGGAGGCAGCAGUGGGGAAUAUUGGACAAUGGGCGGAAGCCUGAUCCAGCAAUACCGCGUGUGUGAAGAAGGCCUGAGGGUUGUAAAGCACUUUCAAUUGGGAGGAAACAGGCAGGUUAAUAC